rnacentral:rRNA from 1 species
UACGUAGGGGGCAAGCGUUGUCCGGAUUUAUUGGGCGUAAAGAGCGUGUAGGCGGCCAGACAGGUCCGUUGUGAAAACUCGAGGCUCAACCUCGAGACGCCGAUGGAAACCGUCUGGCUAGAGUCCGGAAGAGGAGAGUGGAAUUCCUGGUGUAGCGGUGAAUGACGCAGAUAUCAGGAAGAACACCCGUGGCUAAGGCGGCUCUCUAGUACGGUACUGACGCUGAGACGCGAAAGCGUGGGGAGCGAACAGG